rnacentral:lncRNA from 1 species
AAUUCAUUUUAUUUCAACAAACAAAAAUUGGUUGCAUCGGAACGGAAACUUUAAUGAGGCUCGCGUGGCAUAAAACGUAAACUUAUCGUGGAAAUCUUUCUCGCUGGGGGAAGGAGAGAAAUCAAACACUUUGAAAGGCGUUUAAAAAAUGUAAAACACUUUUUGAUAAAAGUUCUUAAGGAUCUGCCAUCCCUCCCUUAUCCCGCGGUCCGCCCAAAUAAAUUUCGUUGUACUACACAAAUAUUUCACGUGGCGCCCCGCCAUUUAAAGUUAGUUCGAGAAACUGCUUAGCAUCUACUUAUUCACUAGAUUUUUCAACAUGAACAUCGGAGCUACGAGUUAUCCAGCCGGUCCGCGCUUCCAGACAGACGUAUAGAUCGCGACCCAUAAAUAACAAGGAAGGGAAGGGCCCUCGUCUUUAAUACGAUCCCCGUUUCCCGAACUCAUAACCGUUGAUCUUCCGCUGGAAAUUCACGAGGAAACGCGACAAAGGUUCACGGCGCAAGAUGCACACGAUGUAACAUUCAACAAACGCCGGUAGACAAUGUUCCAAACUAUACAACAUACAUUUUGACAAGUUCCAGUUUCGCUUCGCAAGCAGCCGGAAAUUGAACACCGGCUGUGUUUCCUGUAUCCACGGCGGCGAGCCAGAUUCCGCGAUGGUAGUUUUACCGCGCUUUCAAGACAAACCCUGAGACGAUGAAACGGAUUUACACGAUAAAAUUAUCAUGUAAAAAGAAAAUAAGAUCGUCCGAAUUGAAAAAUCCAUGCUGUAUCUAUAUCGAAUAUAUACAUGUUUGAACAUCUUUGGAGGAAUUCUAGAAGUUGAUUGAAGAGGAGUUACACAGUAUCGACGUCAGCGACAAUGCUAGGCCGAAAGUUCUAGCGGGCGAUGUCGGCAAAUUGGUGAAAGGGUUGGCUUCAAACUGAAAUUGAGAGGGGUUGGACGUCGCCGGUACCCAACAUCAGAAGGGCAGAGGCGGGAUACGACGCUUCUGGGCUGUCGUGAACCCUGGCUGGAGCCACCGGUGUACUUGGCAGAGAGUGCUUUUCAUCUCCGUAAAUGGACCGGCGGUAAAGCAAUUUUGGAGAAGAAAUCCAGCGAAACGAAGUGCCUGGGGACAGUUGACGAAUUUAUCGAUUCGCAUACAGGGCAAAAAUUGCACGCGUGCACACGAGAGAUUUGAAACAGAUUCUAUCGAUUUCAGGAACAGGCAAUUCAUACCUUCAGGCCUUAGAUCGCGAAAGGAUCGAUCAGAUAGACGCAUAACGAACCAUUUAUCAUAGAGUGAAAUUGUUACGUCGACGGAUCUCGAUUCUCAUCGAAGCAAAGAAAAAGACGGCUAAACACGGAGAGACAGAGAGAGUAACUUUCCUCCGCACGCUUUGCGGAGAAAGAAGAAGGGGGUUGUGCCGCUUUUGUCGUGCUGCACAGACGCGUGGAAAAGAAGAGGCCGAUGGGCAGCCUCUUUAAAGAGUAAUUACGCUUACACUCGAUGUAUCCUGCGCCCCGUGAUAUUCUUCAUCGUUUUUUUCAGGUAAAUACGUGUUUGUUUGCCAUUGUUCCAUCCUCGAGGCAGCCACUUAAAGUCCCAUACGCGUCGAAUCCUUUACAAACUGCAAGGACGAGAGGAGCGGGGAUCGAGGAGGACGAGACUUCAUACGACUUCGGAGACAACGAGUAUAGCUUUGCGACUUAAGCGGUGAUGGCCUAACGGUGUUCUUACGCCCUUUCUUUCUACGAACUGGCUCGAUUUACGCGUAUUAAAUAUAGAGGCUUUUAAAAGAGAAUCCCGCCACGAGAGGGAAAGAAGGGGAAGAAGGGGAGAGGAGAGUGGAAGGACGCGCACGCAAUCCGAGACAAUAUCCCGUUUUGGCUAAGAGGAUCGCCAUCUCGGCAGUGGCAGUUUUAAUAAAUUUCGCCGAUUUCCAAGCGGCGAAAUCUACGCUCACCGCAAUGCAACGUCGUGGAUUGCGACUAUCUACGAGUAAACGGACAGAAUACCCGUACUUUCGGUUUAUUAUACUUCGUUACCACCUCACGAUUUUGUAAAACGUUUUAAUAUCAUCGAUGUUCUAUAUGUUUGUAACAAACUUUUAUGUUUCAAAAAAUAAAUAAAAAUUUAAAAAAUUUAAAAA